rnacentral:rRNA from 1 species
CCUACGGGGGGCAGCAGUGAGGAAUAUUGGUCAAUGGACGCAAGUCUGAACCAGCCAUGCCGCGUGCAGGAAGACGGCUCUAUGAGUUGUAAACUGCUUUUGUACGAGGGUAAACGCAGAUACGCGUAUCUGUCUGAAAGUAUCGUACGAAUAAGGAUCGGCUAACUCCGUGCCAGCAGCCGCGGUAAUACGGAGGAGUCAAGCGUUAUCCGGAUUUAUUGGGGUUAAGGGGUGCGUAGGCGGUCGGAUAAGUUAGAGGUGAAAUCCCGAGGCUCAACUUCGGAAUUGCCUGUGAUACUGUGCGGCUAGAGAGUAGUUGCGGUAGGCGGAAUGUAUGGUGUAGCGGUGAAAUGCUUAGAGAUCAUACAGAACACCGAUUGCGAAGGCAGCUUACCAAGCUACUUCUGACGUUGAGGCACGAAAGCGUGGGGAGCAAACAGGAUUAGAUACCCGUGUAGUC